rnacentral:rRNA from 1 species
GAUGAACGCUGGCGGCAUGCCUAAUACAUGCAAGUCGAGCGCAGGAAGCCGUUCCGAACCCUUCGGGGGGACGAACGGUGGAAUGAGCGGCGGACGGGUGAGUAACACGUAAAGAACCUGCCCAUAGGUCUGGGAUAACCACGAGAAAUCGGGGCUAAUACCGGAUGUGUCAUCGGACCGCAUGGUCCGCUGAUGAAAGGCGCUCCGGCGUCGCCCAUGGAUGGCUUUGCGGUGCAUUAGCUAGUUGGUGGGGUAACGGCCCACCAAGGCGACGAUGCAUAGCCGAUCUGAGAGGGUGAUCGGCCACACUGGGACUGAGACACGGCCCAGACUCCUACGGGAGGCAGCAGUAGGGAAUCUUCCACAAUGGACGAAAGUCUGAUGGAGCAACGCUGCGUGAACGAUGAAGGCUUUCGGGUCGUAAAGUUCUGUUGUAAGGGAAGAACAAGUGCCGCAGGCAAUGGCGGCACCUUGACGGUACCUUGCGAGAAAGCCACGGCUAACUACGUGCCAGCAGCCGCGGUAA